GUGGGGAAUAUUGGACAAUGGGCGAAAGCCUGAUCCAGCCAUGCCGCGUGAGUGAUGAAGGCCUUAGGGUUGUAAAGCUCUUUCAGUAGGGAAGAUAAUGACGGUACCUACAGAAGAAGCCCCGGCUAACUUCGUGCCAGCAGCCGCGGUAAUACGAAGGGGGCUAGCGUUGUUCGGAUUUACUGGGCGUAAAGCGCACGUAGGCGGAUUGGUCAGUUAGGGGUGAAAUCCCAGAGCUCAACUCUGGAACUGCCCUUAAUACUGCCAAUCUAGAGUCCGGAAGAGGUGAGUGGAACUCCUAGUGUAGAGGUGGAAUUCGUAGAUAUUAGGAAGAACACCAGUGGCGAAGGCGGCUCACUGGUCCGGUACUGACGCUGAGGUGCGAAAGCGUGGGGAGCAAACAGGAUUAGAAACCCUGGUAGUCC
rnacentral:rRNA from 1 species